rnacentral:rRNA from 1 species
GACGAACCGUGCGAACGUUGUUCGGAAUCACUGGGCUUAAAGGGCGCGUAGGCGGGCUCUCAAGUCAGGGGUGAAAGCCCACGGCCCAACCGUGGAAGUGCCUCUGAUACUGGGGGCCUGGAGGGGGAUAGGGGCGUGCGGAACUUGGGGUGGAGCGGUGAAAUGCGUAGAUAUCCCAAGGAACACCGGUGGCGAAGGCGGGUCUCUGGGCCGUAACUGACGCUGAGGAGCGAAAGCGUGGGGAGCAAACAGG